GGUCCCAAGGCUUUGGGUUGGUACAGACUGCGUGAUUCUCAACUAGCUGACCUGUAUUAGUCUCUGUCUGAACUAGUUUUGGGGUUCACAAGCAACCCUGAUAGUCGGCGUAAGACAGGCCUGGGAGCCAAGGCUUAGACU